AUUGAACGCUGGCGGCAUGCUUUACACAUGCAAGUCGAACGGUAGGGUAGCGAUACCUGAGAGUGGCGAACGGGUGAGUAAUGUAUCGGAACGUGCCCAAGAGUGGGGGAUAGCCCGGCGAAAGCCGGAUUAAUACCGCAUACGAUCUAUGGAUGAAAACGGGGGACCGCAAGGCCUCGUGCUCCUGGAGCGGCCGAUAUCAGAUUAGGUAGUUGGUGGGGUAAAGGCUCACCAAGCCAACGAUCUGUAGCUGGUUUGAGAGAACGACCAGCCACACUGGGACUGAGACACGGCCCAGACUCCUACGGGAGGCAGCAGUGGGGAAUUUUGGACAAUGGGCGCAAGCCUGAUCCAGCAAUGCCGCGUGUAGGAUGAAGGCCUUCGGGUUGUAAACUGCUUUUGUACGGAGCGAAAAGGCUUCUUCUAAUACAGGAGGCUCAUGACGGUACCGUAAGAAUAAGCACCGGCUAACUACGUGCCAGCCGCCGCCGUAAAAC
rnacentral:rRNA from 1 species